rnacentral:rRNA from 1 species
UCUGGGAAACUGCCUGAUGGAGGGGGAUAACUACUGGAAACGGUAGCUAAUACCGCAUAACGUCGCAAGACCAAAGAGGGGGACCUUCGGGCCUCUUGCCAUCGGAUGUGCCCAGAUGGGAUUAGCUUGUUGGUGGGGUAACGGCUCACCAAGGCGACGAUCCCUAGCUGGUCUGAGAGGAUGACCAGCCACACUGGAACUGAGACACGGUCCAGACUCCUACGGGAGGCAGCAGUGGGGAAUAUUGCACAAUGG